rnacentral:rRNA from 1 species
UGGGGAAUAUUGGGCAAUGGGCGCAAGCCUGACCCAGCAACGCCGCGUGAGGGAAGAAGGUCUUCGGAUUGUAAACCUCUGUCCUUGGGGACGAAAAAAAUGACGGUACCCAAGGAGGAAGCUCCGGCUAACUACGUGCCAGCAGCCGCGGUAAUACGUAGGGAGCGAGCGUUGUCCGGAAUUUCUGGGCGUAAAGGGUGCGUAGGCGGCAUAGCAAGUCAGAUGUGAAAUCCCCGGGCUUAACUCGGGGGCUGCAUUUGAAACUGCUUUGCUUGAGUACAGGAGAGGAAAGCGGAAUUCCUAGUGUAGCGGUGAAAUGCGUAGAUAUUAGGAGGAACACCAGGGGCGAAGGCGGCUUUCUGGACUGUCACUGACGCUGAGGCACGAAAGCGUGGGGAGCAAACA